rnacentral:tRNA from 1 species
GCCCGGGUGGCGAAAUUGGUAGACGCAAGGGACUUAAAAUCCCUCGGUAGAAAUACUGUGCCGGUUCGACUCCGGCCCCGGGCACCA